rnacentral:rRNA from 1 species
GACGAACGCUGGCGGCGUGCUUAACACAUGCAAGGCGCACGGGACCCGCAAGGGUUCAGUGGCAAACGGGUGCGUAACACGUGAGGAACCCGUCCAACGGUGGGGGAUAGCCGGCCCAACGGCCGGGUAAUACCGCGUACGACCUUCGGGGGGCAUCCCCCGGGGGUGAAAGCAGCAAUGCGCCGAUGGAGGGCCUCGCGGCCUAUCAGCUAGUUGGUGAGGUCAUGGCUCACCAAGGCAACGACGGGUAGCUGGUCCGAGAGGAUGACCAGCCACAUUGGGACUGAGACACGGCCCAGACUCCUACGGGAGGCAGCAGUGGGGAAUCUUGCGCAAUGGGCGAAAGCCUGACGCAGCGACGCCGCGUGUGGGAUGAAGGUCUUCGGAUUGUAAACCACUGUCGGGAGGGACGAAGCUCUGACGGUACCUCCAAAGGAAGCACCGGCUAACUCUGUGCCAGCCGCCGCCGUAA